rnacentral:rRNA from 1 species
AUUGAACGCUGGCGGCAGGCCUAACACAUGCAAGUCGAGCGAGCGGCGGACGGGUGAGUAAUUUCUGGGAAACUGCCUGAUGGAGGGGGAUAACUACUGGAAACGGUAGCUAAUACCGCAUACCAUCAGAUGUGCCCAGAUGGGAUUAGCUAGUAGGUGGGGUAACGGCUCACCUAGGCGACGAUCCCUAGCUGGUCUGAGAGGAUGACCAGCAACACUGGAACUGAGAGGAGGUCCGGACGCCUACGGGAGGCGGAAGUGGUGUAUAUUGCACAAUGGGCGCAAUCCUGAGGCAGCCAUGCCGCGUGUGUGAAGAAGGCCUUCGGGUUGUAAAGCUCUUUCAGCGGGGAGGCGUUACCCGAAGAAGAAGCACCGGCUAACUCCGUGCCAGCAGCCGCGGUAAUAC